rnacentral:rRNA from 1 species
GGCCUUGACAUACUAAGAACUUUCCAGAGAUGGAUUGGUGCCUUCGGGAACUUAGAUACAGGUGCUGCAUGGCUGUCGUCAGCUCGUGUCGUGAGAUGUUGGGUUAAGUCCCGCAACGAGCGCAACCCUUUUUCCUUAUUUGCCAGCGGGUCAUGCCGGGAACUUUAAGGAUACUGCCAGUGACAAACUGGAGGAAGGCGGGGACGACGUCAAGUCAUCAUGGCCCUUACGGCCAGGGCUACACACGUGCUACAAUGGUCGGUACAAAGGGUUGCUACCUCGCGAGAGGAUGCUAAUCUCAAAAAGCCGAUCGUAGUCCGGAUCGCAGUCUGCAACUCGACUGCGUGAAGUCGGAAUCGCUAGUAAUCGCGGAUCAGAAUGCCGCGGUGAAUACGUUCCCGGGCCUUGUACACACCGCCCGUCACACCAUGGGAGUUUGUUGCACCAGAAGUAGGUAGUCUAACCGCAAGGAGGACGCUUACCACGGUGUGGCCGAUGACUGGGGUGAAGUCGUAACAAGGUAGGCGUAGAUGA